rnacentral:rRNA from 1 species
AAGACCUUGCGCUUUUGGAGCGGCCGAUGCCUGAUUAGCUUGUUGGUAAGGUAAAAGCUUACCAAGGCUUCGAUCAGUAGCUGGUCUGAGAGGACGGCCAGCCACACUGGGACUGAGACACGGCCCAGACUCCUACGGGAGGCAGCAGUGGGGAAUUUUGGACAAUGGGGGCAACCCUGAUCCAGCCAUGCCGCGUGAGUGAAGAAGGCCUUCGGGUUGUAAAGCUCUUUCAGCCGGAACGAAACGGUUACGGUUAAUACCCGUGAUUACUGACGGUACCGGAAGAAGAAGCACCGGCUAACUACGUGCCAGCAGCCGCGGUAAUACGUAGGGUGCGAGCGUUAAUCGGAAUUACUGGGCGUAAAGCGUGCGCAGGUGGAUUUGUAAGUCAGAUGUGAAAGCCCCGGGCUCAACCUGGGAACU